ACACUCGGCACAGUUAAUGGCACUGGAAGAAUUCACGGGCUUUUAAAAGUUAUUUCUUAUAUAAUAUCUACCCGUGAUCUCUUAGUGGCAUCUAUGGUGCAGGGUUA
rnacentral:pre_miRNA from 4 species